rnacentral:lncRNA from 1 species
GUUUGAAGGAGAAAAUGAGCAUCUCUCAUCUAUGAACAAUUAUUUAUCAGAGACGUAUCAGGAAUUCAGGAAAUAUUUCAAAGAAGCAUGUAAUGUCCCUGAGCCAGAAGAGAAGUUUAAUAUGGACAAAUACACAGACCUGGUGACAGUCAGCAAACCAGUCAUUUAUAUUUCAAUUGAAGAAAUCAUCAGCACACACUCAGUAAGUGGGGAUGGGGAGCCAUCUUAGCAAUGGACCCAUGAUUUAGGCAUCUGUUAUCUUGAAAAUGCUUAAUCUCUACAGGACUUAUUGUACACAUGUGCUAAUACUCAUAUUCUUAACCCUAAAAAUCUCGCAAUUAUUUAUUCCAUGACUCUUAUACAUUAAUAAAACUCCUUCUCCCAAACAACAAAA